ncrna:unclassified sequences Glutamine-II riboswitch (downstream peptide RNA)
AAACGUUCAACUUGCAUAUAGCAAGCCGCAGAUCGACUUAAGCCAUGGAACGGGGACUUGAG